UGGAUCACCUCCUAACAGGGAGAACCAACCUCAAAUGAUGAUCACCACUUUUUAGUGAUCCAUUUGACUGUUCAUUCCUAUGGUCGAUCGGUACCUCAGUGAGUGAAAUUCACUCAUCUCGGUCCUUAAGCUUGUCUAGGUCACCACCCCUUAGCUGAUAAGCUUUGUGGGAUGGGCCCGAGAGGGUUCCUGGGCCAUUAGCUCAGGUGGUUAGAGCGCACCCCUGAUAAGGGUGAGGUCCCUGGUUCAAGUCCAGGAUGGCCCAUCGGGAUUGGGGGUUUAGCUCAGCUGGUAGAGCGCCUGCUUUGCAAGCAGGAUGUCAGCGGUUCGAGUCCGCUAACCUCCAUCAAUUCUGAUGAGGGAACACGACAGGGCGUUGGUGAUGUUAGGCACGAUUGUUGGUGAAUCCAGCCUCGUUUGAUUCUUGUGAAAGUUCAAACGAUGCUGGGCUCAGCAAUGGGUUCAGCGAGAACCUUGACAACUGCAUAGGAAAGUCUGGAAAUUAAGCAUCUCACAGAUGUUAUUCAGAUGAAGAUCAACGGGUGCGCAAGCAUCUGUUGAUGUUUGUUUGAGUAAUUUUAUUCUGUGGAAGCCGAGAUCCAGUCAAUGAAUGAUGGAGUGAUCCAUUGUUGAUUGACUGGAGAUGAUAUGGUCAAGCUACGAAGGGCUCACGGUGGAUACCUUGGCACACAGAGGCGAUGAAGG
rnacentral:tRNA from 1 species